rnacentral:rRNA from 1 species
AUGGCCGGCAUCAACCAGCAGCUGGUCGGUGCACAGCAGCAGGAAGCCGUCAGCACAUCCUUGCGGUGGCCGACUAUGGUGAUGGCCUUCUGGACAGUUCCGACUACCACUCUUCAGCUUGGCUCUUUUGGAGCGUUCUCGGCUCGGCCGAGGGUGUCGUGUGACAGGGUCCGUUCUGCGUCCACGGUGCCUAGUUUGCGGGUGUCGAGAUCUGCUGAUGGCGGAGGUGCUUCGGGGCAGGAUGGCCCGCCUUCGGUUGUGUCCUCUCCUUCGACACAGGCUGAGGCGGCUGAGCCGGUGGUCAUGGGAGGAGAGGGCCAGCAGGAGGCUCAGCCCUCUAGGCCUUUGACGCUGGCGGUCCCAAGGGUCGGCGUGGCCCCCUUGGUGAGGUCGCCGGUUUGCGGGGGAGCGGGCGCGCAGGAGGCCGUUGUUUCCACUUCGGUUGCUCUGGAGGGCGGGCUGGGUGGUUCGGUGGCUGCGGCACCGGACUCCCUGGACCGCGCUAAGCCGAGUUCACCGGUCGCGGGCGUCGGCGGGGUGGCAGCCCAUGGGCCCUGCGAGCUCUCAUCACCGUUGGAUGUGGCUCCGGUGGCCCCGGCGCUGGUCACCGCUGUUGGGGGACGGGCAGGAGGCUCUUCCCCCACCUCUGAAGCGCUAGGUGUGCAGCAUAAUCACUGGAGAAGGAACUUGGUGGCCUUGCCAACAUGUACUAUUUGCGGUUUGGAACAGGAGGAUGGCUUCCCUGCAGUGAUGAGAUGUACGAAAGCACUUCGUCAUGAGAUGUGGAAGGAGAGGGUACCACAGCGUCAGGUUGUGCUAAGUGAUGACAGUGCGAGGUCCAGUGAUCGUGGUGGGGCCUAUUCUAUUGUUGCUGGAAGAAAAACAAUUGCGAUUGAAUAG